UACGUAGGGGGCAAGCGUUGUCCGGAUUUACUGGGCGUAAAGAGCGCGUAGGCGGAGAUCUAAGCGUGGCCUGAAAGCCCCCGGCUCAACCGGGGAGUGCGGCUGCGAACUGGGUUUCUUGAGGACGAUAGAGGAGAGUGGAAUUCCUGGUGUAGCGGUGAAAUGCGUAGAUAUCAGGAGGAACACCUGAGGUGAAGACGGGUUGCUGGGCUGACACUGACGCUGAGGCGCGAAAGCCAGGGGAGCAAACGGG
rnacentral:rRNA from 1 species